UCCUAGUACGAGAGGACCGGAGUGGACGCACCUCUGGUGUACCGGUUGUCACGCCAGUGGCAUUGCCGGGUAGCUAAGUGCGGAAGAGAUAACCGCUGAAAGCAUCUAAGCGGGAAACUCGUUCCAAGAUGAGAUCUGCCGGGGCCUUGAGCCCCCUGAAGGGUCGUCGUAGACCACGACGUUGAUAGGCUGGGUGUGGAAGCGCAGCAAUGCGUUAAGCUAACCAGUACUAAUUGCCCGUGCGGCUUGACCCU
rnacentral:ncRNA from 1 species